AUGAGCAUGGAAAUCACAAAGCAAUUUUGUACCACUCUGAACAUUAUGACCGAGGCUCUCAACGGUAGACAUUCGAGCUUGCCAGCUACUGCGGGUGAUUUGUUGGAUGCUAAGUUAAGAAAGGCCUCCUCUUUUAUUUGGCAAAGUAUCAUGUCGGGGGUAAAUUCGGUGGAGCAAGGCUAUCUUUGGAGAGUUAGUAAUGGGCAAAAUAUUUAUAUUUGGGAAGAUGCAUGGAUCCCUAAUUGUGCUAAUAGGAGAAUUAUCACUCCUAGAGGGGGUCAUCGUCUGACUAAGGUUCUUGAUCUCAUUGAUCUAGUGACCUGGUCCAACAGAUGUUGUGCCCAAUUGAUGCACAACCCGUCCUCGCGAUUCCUCUUCUUCCUCCCCUUCAUACCUUUCCAUCGCGGUCGGGCCGGUCUGAGCGAGCGAGUGAGAUCAUCCGAGCGAAGCGUGCGUCCCGUUGUCGUGCCGAGCCAGCCCGCCUCGCCGUCCUCGCGAAAAGCCCCUCUCCCACCCCACCACUGGGCUCCUCAACCCCCCACUCCUCCUCCUCCUCCUCCCCCGCACCCGCCUCCGCUAACCCUAGCCGGCGCCGCCCGUCGCCCCGGCGUCGAACGAAGUCAGCGGCCGGCGCAGAUCCCGCCGCGCCCCGCCCCCCGCCGCGGCGCGGGGAGGACGACGGUACGUGCGCCCUCCUCCCCGAUCGAUUUCCCCGUCCUGCCCCCUGCCGCCUCCGACAAACGCGCGGCGGGCCGAUUCGCUGGGGGUCUCCGGGCCACGGGGCGGCCACGCCGGGCGGCGAUUGGCGGGGCUCGGCGGCCUCCGUCGCGUUCGAUGUUCGGUGAUUCUGGGCGGAGGCGCUCCGCUCCGUUGGGUAGGGCCGCCGUGGACGUGCGGGGCGGAUUGGUUUGGGAGUUCCGGCGCCGGAGCGUGGCCUGGUCCGGUAGCCCGAGUAGGCUCUCAGCUCCCGAUGUGGUUGCCUGA
rnacentral:rRNA from 1 species